rnacentral:pre_miRNA from 1 species
UGGAGGAGCGCCGGAUCCUGGGCUGUGUACCCGGUGCCCUGUGCUCCCGGCCUGGGCUGCUGGAAUCGCGCUCCCGCCCCGCAGCCCCCU